CUCUCUCUUUUUCUCUCUCACUUUCUCUUUCUCUCUCACUUUCUCUCUCUCUCUCUCUUUGGUCUGUGGUGGUCCAUCUUUCCCUUUUCAGCACAGUUAGACUUGUGCUCUUUUGUCUUUUUAAUACAACUUGUUUGCUCUGGAACAGCACUAAGCCAAUCCCCCUGGCGUACUCUGGUUCCAGCCACAGCCAUACGUGUAUGAAAGUGGGGAAUGUCACGGUUGAAAUCAGAUUAUCUGGGUUCGUGCCUUCACCCCAUUUUUUGUAGUGCUGUUGGAAGGACCCCAUGUACAACAUUCCCUUUCAUCUAUGAUUCUGCAGGGCCUGCCAAUCAUCUGUCUCUCCCGCCUAAUGGGUUUCACAGCACUGCCCAGCUGGUGAUAUCAUUUCAACAACAUAAUUUGUUUUCCCCAAAAACAACAGUUCUCUUCCAAUAUGGAGAAAACAAAUAAAAGACUAUUAGAAUUCUGCUUCCAAUAAUGAACUAGAUUAAUAGAAAAAUAAAAUAAACUCAAAGUAAUUCUCAAAAGAGCAAUAAACAGAGAUCAUCUGUGAUGACUUAGUAUCUGGGUCCUGUGAUUGAUUUCAGGCUGCUGUAACAGAUACAAUGUGUCACUUUAAAAGACCAGCGGCUACACAUUGAUUACGCGCAGCAAGGCCAAUGACCUGUGUUGCAUGCUGGGAAAUCCAGCUGUGCCUCUACUGACCGUAUUCAUCCAUCUCAUGCUGCCCCACCCCCGUCACCACUUCCUCUGCUACACACACACCCCACCCCUGUCCCCAGCAGUAUCCUUGGAGGAUGGCAAAAGUGUGUGUGUGAGCGGAAAAAAAAAGAAAUCUAGACGUGGGUGUGAUGUCAUUUUGACUCCCCUCUCCUCCAGUAGCAGGCUACGCAUAGAGAGCUGGAGAGAGAAGAGGGGGAGAUGAGACUGGAAGGAGGCGCUUAGGAGGUUGCAGGGGAAGACAUGUAAAAAGACAGGAACAGGGCCUAAGAAAAACCUCUGGAUGUCACCUAAGAGGCACUCCCUCCACUGUCAUUCCUGCUGGAGGCUCCACCAACACGUCUGGACUGCACCUGGGCGUCCAACGCACGGAGAGGGAGAGAGUCCAGGGGCACCUACAGUUAAGCUUUCCGUCGGAUGAUUCACUCUCAUCAUUCCCGCCUUACUACUACUGUAACAGUGAGGGUGUGGAUGCAAUGGAUACAGAGUGACGGUGCGUGUUUCCAACAUCUGAGCACUCCUAGCUUUACCAGAGGAAGGUUACCGAGAGAGAGUGAGCAGAGAGCAGAGAGAACGAGAGAUAUUUGAUCCACAGGGAAAGAGGAGGAUCCAUGUUUUCGUGUCAGCGCAGCUGGUGGUGAUGAGCUCCUGUAAAUAUUUACCUCGCGCCCGUCUGCGGUCUGAAUCAGCACCGGGAGCUGCGCCGCUGAACCCGUGAACUCUGCACUCCCGCCAACCUUCUCUGGCAGCCCCAGGCGCCGCACCCGAGCGAGGCAGACGAGGCAGACGCACACGAAGCGGGUCUGCCUGUGUGACUGACUGACUGACUGACUGACUGCCAGCCUACCUGACUGACUGACGUCUCCGCGCUUCAUCUUCCCGCUCACACUCUCUCUCUCUCUCUCUGCUUCACAGCUCCUUCAUCCAGUCAACCAGCUGUGAAACCUCGGGGCUAAACGCCUUGACAACAGGAGUGCCCUGGACAACACACCAGUCAGACAAACACAGCCAUACUGUCACCUUUCCCCAGUCACACAGUCUCAGACUUUCACCAGUGUAUGUGUAAUGUCUGUCUGUGUGUGUGUGUGUGUGUGUGUGUGUGUCAGAUAAUCUGGGUGCUCACAGCUUAGUGUCUAAGGUGAAUCAGUGGGGGUGUCACAGUCGUGAAGCACCAGAGAUUCCAGAUGUCUGUUAGAGCUUAUUUACUGCUAUCAGAAAACAGACCAGAAGCUGUUUUGUGGUUUUGAAGGGACAGGGAAGAGUGUGUGUGAGAGUGUAUCUAAUGUGUGAGUAAGACAGCAUUUAAAAAAAGCUCAGUGUGUGUGAGUGUGUAUGUCAGUCUGUCUGUCUGUCUGUCUCUGUGUGUGUGAUAGACACGAUGGGUUGUGCCAUCUGCACUCAGCUCGUGGACAUGUGUAGGGGGUUCACAUGGAAGAGGGGUCGGAGCGCCAGGCCAGCGGUCGCGGAGGUGCCCCCCCUGGAGUACCACCGGCUCUCCGGCCUCCACUACACCUCCUCCUUCUCCGACGCAGAGGACUGCUGCGAUGACCUCAGCUCCAUCAGCACCUCCUCGUCCUCUGAUUACCUAGAAACUGAAUACUUGGCUGAUUUGGAGGAAUGACACACAGGCUUGUGACACUUGUCAUUUGCAUCAUAUGCACUUCACUUGAAUAAAUGAUUAAGAUGAAAACUAA